rnacentral:lncRNA from 1 species
UCAGAGUGGCAACCAAAGGUGUCUCCAGAAGCUGCCACCUGUCACCCCAGUUGGGAACCACUACUCAAGCUACUCAGGCAUGGUAUGUCGGUUAGUUUUGAGGGACAUUGUUCCUGGAAGGUAAGCCUUGUGAAAUCAGAACAGGUGGUUGCUUUCCAUAUGUGACGAAAGGGAGAUUAUUAUUAAUUUCUGUCAUUAACUCCAGCUAGGCAUGGGGGGGGGGGCGUCCCUGGAGAGUCUGUCCUAUGAGAAAGGCAGUAGAGGAAAAGGGAGGUCUGCCCUUCUCAAGGAUCUGUGAGGGGCUGUGAGGAUGGAUGGUUUGGGGAGGGUGGAGACCCUGAGGACCAGCAGGAUGCUGGACAGCGGUUUUGUACACAGUAUAAUCCCUCCCCACACCUGCCAUAACUUCAGGAAUGUUACUAAGCUCCCCAAACCAGGUUGCCUUUUGGGAAAUUGCAGUGAGCCUGCUAGUUCACAUGGAUGCAGCAGUGGAGACAAGGGGCCCAGGAGGUAGGAAGAUUGGAAAUUCACAGAAAUUAUGGAGAAGCAGGAACGUGUGGAAAUGGUGUGUCCUGAAGUAUGUGCCCCGCCGGUGAUUAUGAGCUCUUGUUCAGCAGCAGGUGCAGAAGUCCUGGGCCAGGAGGUGAUAGAUGCUGUGUUUGGGCACAUCACUCACCUGUUGGACCACCUCAGUGUCCCUGUAGUUGAGACAGAGUGACAUGGCACCUGAGCUUGGUUUAAGAUGACAGGUAGAAGCACCUGGAAAAGAAAGGGCUCCCAGAACCGCUGGAUUUAGUGAUGGAGGAACUUGGAGGGGUCUGCUUCCAUCCUCUUGGAUUCAUGGAUUUUUCACUCAUGGAUAACUAAGGGAUGGAGAAUUCAGAUUUCCAGAAGAAGCACAUUCAUUUAAGGCAACUUGAAUUCAGAGGAAAUAAUUGAAAUUGUCUGCAAUUUACGUUUUCAUCAUCUUUACCUUGUGAUUCUAAUUCUGCCAACUGGAUUCACACAGAAGAAGCUGAUGUCCUGCAUCUGAUGCCCUUUCAGUACUGGAGCAGCUGUCCUGGUAUUUGUUCUCCCAGGAAAGAGUCAAAUGUGGCCCACCUUCUUCAGUAGAAGAAUCCGUAUAUUUCUAGUUGAAUGGCCUUCUUUAUCUUAUUUCACCCUUGGAAAAAACAAGUACUAUCUGUAGAUCUUUAGGUUCAUGUUGUCACUUGAAGAAUUUUUAAAGCGAGAUAGUUCCCUGGUGGACUGGUGGUUGGGACUGGGCGCAUUCACCACUGUGGCCCAGGUUCAAUCCCUGGUCUGGAAGCUGAGAUCCCACAUUAAGUAGCUGCACGCUGCCCCUAGGGGGUAAAAAGAGAAUUCUUAAAGUGCUUUGAAAUUCCUAGAAUAGGAGUGCUGUGUUAGGCCUUGGUAACUGGACAGUCACCACUUAGUUAAAAUCUAGAAAUUACGAUGAUUUCCUCAGUUGGAAAUGCAGUUAUACCGGUUAGAGUUACAUGGCUUUAUUGGUUACAGUUACAUGAUUAUAUUGGUUAGAGCGACUUGGUUAUAUUGGUUAGAGUUACAUGGUUGUAUUGGUUAGGGUUACAUGGUUGUAUUGGUUAGGGUUACAUGGUUGUAUUGGUUAGAGUUACAUGGUUGUAUUGGUUAGAGUUACAUGGUUGUAUUGGUUAGAGUUACAUGGCUUUAUUGGUUACAGUUACAUGAUUAUAUUGNNNNNGUUACAUGGUUGUAUUGGUUAGAGUUACAUGGUUGUAUUGGUUCUAUUACAUGGUUAUACUGGUUAGAGUUACAUGGUUGUAUUGGUUAGAGUUACAUGGUUGUAUUGGUUAUAUUACAUGGUUAUACUGGUUACAGUUACGUGGUUAUACUGGUUACAUUACAUGGUUAUAUCUUAAGUAGUUCUGUUUAUUAGUCUCCCUCCUUUUGUACUUUCCCGUCAGUCAUGGUUUCAUUAAUACUAAAUCAGUGAGUUCUUAAAGCUUGUUUCUUCCAGGGAAAAACUGAGUUUAAAUGUCAGAAAAUUGCCCUGUAGUCAUCUUAUCCUGGGCUAGAGGCACUCUUGAGCUACUUAAUUUUUUUAAGUGGAAGAAAUUGCUGUCAAAACAGCACCAGAUCCAGGAAGUAGUAAUGACAAUUGUUACAGCCACGCACAGUAGGCCCGGCUCCGGUGGAAGCAGAGCCAAGCCCAGGGGUUCUGACUCUUGGUCCUGUGACAUUUCCUUUCUCCUCGACCUCUGUGGUGAUUGUGUUUCACUGGUAAUAAUUCACCUUCUUCUGCAGACGUCAUAGGAGAUAUCUUGGUGUCAAGGACAUAAAAGUUAGGUUUGACCAGGUCUUUAGCUGAAGACAAGCUGUUGGUUUCUUCCAGGUAAGGAGGUGCAGGUGAGGGUCUUCCUUCCUCUGUGUGCUGACAUGGCCGGAGAAGCAGAGGGCAGGGACGGGGUGGCGGGGGCUGCGGCAUCCUCCAUGCCUCCCUUGGUUCAGCAGCUGCCUCACGAGCUUCCGGGUCCCUUUCAACCAGGUCUCUGACCCUGAGUCUCCAUGGGGGCCACACCAAGAUUUAAAUUUCCUAAAUCUUACUUGCUCACUGCCCAACCCUAAAAUUUCUGUUCCCAUCCCUCCCCUGGCCCUGCCUUUCUUCUUUCCCACCUGCUCCUAUACCACUGGUCUCUCUGCAGGAAAAAUACAGACUUACCCUGAAGCUAAAGAAGCUGAAGUCCAGGGCCCCCACCUGCACUCUAAGACCCCAACCCCAAGGCCUUGGGAAGACACUAAUCAUUUUCUCUUUGGAAGUUUAACCCAUUUUCUUUUGAUGCCAAAUAAUAUCAGCUUUGGGAUCUGUGCUUUUUCUUGAGGAAAACACCUUGGGACUCAUAGAAACCGAACAAACAGAUAUUUCAUGGCUUGUGUCUUAAAUGUUAAGGCUAACAACUAAUAUCUGUGGUACAUGAUGUUUGGCCCAUGAGUGUGGAAUAACAAUUUGCUUUGACAUCUAAUUUUAAAGGGUGUAAGUGAAUUGGACAUUGAGUCAGCACAAUUCUUCCCAAUUCAGUGGGGCCACUGGGGUGACAUUGGGUAAGUAGAGUGCAUGGUCAGUAAGACACUGUUUUUUUCUUCUCUUUAUUAUUUAUUUAUUUUUAUUACUCAAUGAAUUUAUUACAUUUGUAGUUGUACAAUGAUCAUCACAAUCCAAUUUUAUAGGAUUUCCAUUCCACAACCCCAGCACAUCCCCGCACCCCCCAAACUGUCUCCUUUGGAGACCAUAAGAUUUUCAAAGUGUGUGAGUCAGUAUCUGUUCUGCAAAGAAGUUCAGUCUGUCCUUUUUUCAGAUUCCUCAUGUCAGUGAAAGCAUUUGAUGCUGGUGUCUCAUUGUAUGGCUGACUUCACUUAGCAUGGUAAUUUCUAGGUCCAUCUAUGUUGCUAAAAAUGCUAGCAUUUCAUUCAUUUUAAUGGCCGAGUAAUAUUCCGUUGUGUAUAUGUACCAUAUCUUCUUGAGCCACUCCUCGGUUGAUGGACAUUUAGGUUGUUUCCAUGUCUUAGCUAUUGAAAAUAGUGCUGCAUUUUCUUCUCUUUAUAUCUGAGGAUAGGGAUCUGGCAUAUUAGUGAAACCAGAAGAUUUUUACUUGCACCACACAGCACCCUAACAGAGCUGAGAUGGCCCACAGGAAGGGGGUCUGUGGGAGCUUGCAGCAUUCUACAGCGUGUCCAGGACCGUGAUGGAGACAGGACAGCAGCUAACAGGCCUUUGGAGCCCCACACAGACAGGGAUUCAAGACGGGGCUAGUUCAGAGCCCAUCCAUGUACACAUGCAUUUGUCAGCCCUCCCCUCCAGGCUGGCCUUGAUCUAGAGAACCGUGUCGUCCAAAAGGGCAUAUUCAGUAGUGACAAAGAGGUGCCCGGAGACAAAAAAAUGUCAAGCGUUUCAGCACAAGCUGAAAACAUCUGAAGUGAUCAGACAAGAGAACAAAGGAGGGAUGAUUGGUAUAUUUAAUGUGGACCAGCAGUAGAGGUGGUUUCUAAGGGCCUGCACUGAGUCCUGCCUACGGGAGAACUACUAAAGACUAAUGCCUCCAUCUCAGCGUUACUUAGGCUCCAGGAGAGAAAUGGGUCGACUUCAUUUCCACAUCAGGGGGCCUGGAUGCGCUCCAACCACUGGGCCUCCUUCCUCCUGGGGCCAGGCUGGAAGGGGACGCCCGCAGGGAGGCAGGAAGGACAGGGCACUAGAAAGACAAGCAGUCUCUGAGGGUGCAAAAGGAGGGAAAGUGUGGAGGGAAGGUGAGGCAGGUUUCACCCUGUAGGCAGGACCCUGGAGGGGCUGGCGGGGGGUUGGGGGGUGGACACGGGUGCAGUUGUUGUGAGCAGGCUCCCGCACCUGCCCCUCUGCCCCUCCCCUCCCCUGAAGGGCAGACAGGAGAGGGGUCUUCUCCCAAGCCCUGAGCCAACAGCCGGGCUGGUCCCCAGAGUGAAAUCUCCCUUAUUCUGGUUUGGGUUGGAGUGGUGCGGCGGGGAGGAGGGGAAUUGCCAGUCUAGGGCCAAUUAGCUCCUCACCCAUCUGUCUAAGUAAAGCACCAAACCCCAUCUGUGGACCCUGAACGCACCCCCACCAGCUACGUUCCACUCAGAGUCCAUGGCAAACCUACAGCAGGUCAUCGAAGGAGGCUGAGGCUCGUCCCACGGCCUGAAGAGGAAGGCAGCGAAAGGGGACAAGCCGAAGAUCCACACAGUCCGCUGACCUGGGGAGGGGCUAGGUGGGAAACAAAAGAAAGAAAACCAAAAGUCGAAUUGUUGUCUUCAGAAACAUUCAAGAAAAUACCGCACAAUCCAAAAUGUGAGAACAGGAUGCUAUUUAUGAACAGGCAGAGAAUAGGAAAGAAAUCAAAAUUUGAUUGCGGAACUUAAAAUCCCAUGGAAGAGAUGGCAGCCAGGAUGGAGCUCGAGGGAGGCUCGCAACAGAGCUUGCUGGAUGGACUUGCGAUGCAGAAACACACAAGGAGAGAAAGAAGACGUGAUGCAAGAACCUGACCCCAGGGGCUGGGGAGAUCCGGUUGCAACUAGCUGUGCAGACUGGCCGGUGGGUGUUGGAGCAUCGGCCAAGGAUGCAGACAAGCUCAGCACCAUCAGCAGCAGCUCAGGGGACGCAGCAUUGAGCCUUCACGUGGCUGACCGCGUCUGUGUCCCUCCUGUGCCGGCGGCCAUGGAUGCCAUGCUUGCCCGGAGCCCCCGCUUUGUCUUCCUACCUCUCUGUGAUCACAGGGCCUCCCUAGGAUGCACAGUCUGGCUGGCUGCCACCCUCUUCUGCGCCACCCACGGCGCUGAAACUGGGAGUGAUGGCAACACAGCUUCUGUGAAU